rnacentral:rRNA from 1 species
UACGUAGGGUGCAAGCGUUGUCCGGAAUUAUUGGGCGUAAAGAGCGUGUAGGCGGCCCGAUUAGUCCGCUGUGAAAGUCCAGGGCUCAACCCUGGAAUGCCGGUGGAUACUGUCGGGCUAGAGUCCGGAAGGGGCGAGUGGAAUUCCUGGUGUAGCGGUGAAAUGCGCAGAUAUCAGGAAGAACACCGACGGCGAAGGCAGCUCGCUGGGCUGACACUGACGCUCAUGCACGAAAGCGUGGGGAGCAAACAGG